rnacentral:rRNA from 1 species
CCUACGGGGGGCAGCAGUGGGGAAUAUUGCACAAUGGGGGAAACCCUGAUGCAGCAACGCCGCGUGAGUGAAGAAGUAUUUCGGUAUGUAAAGCUCUAUCAGCAGGGAAGAAGAUGACGGUACCUGAUUAAGAAGCCCCGGCUAACUACGUGCCAGCAGCCGCGGUAAUACGUAGGGGGCAAGCGUUAUCCGGAUUUACUGGGUGUAAAGGGAGCGUAGACGGCAGCGCAAGUCUGGAGUGAAAUGCCGGGGCUCAACCCCGGAACUGCUUUGGAAACUGUGCAGCUAGGGGGCGGGAGAGGUAA